AGAGCUUCUUCACAAAGCAGCUGCAAUUCUCAAGGAGCACAAGGCUCCCAUUGCCGAAUGCCUUGUCAAAGAAAUUGCUAAACCUGCAAAGGAUGCUGUAACUGAGGUAAAGAUAAUAUUCUUUACCAAUGACUAUAAUAUGUGUCUUUGACGUAAAAACCUGAGAUUUCUUGUCGGAUGUAUGGAUAAGGUUGUUCGCUCAGGGGAUCUUAUAUCAUACACAGCUGAGGAAGGUGUUCGUACACUAGGCCAGGGGAAGUUCUUGGUCUCUGAUAGCUUUCCAGGGAAUGAACGCACCAAAUAUUGCCUUACCUCCAAGGUUAAUAAGCAUUUUCAUGGUUUGACGCUUUACAGUAAAAUAUUUGGUUGUAAAAUGAAAUGUUUAGGUGAGCAUCUAAAAUAAAUACGUUUAAUGAUGAAAUGAUGCAUACUUGUUCGAUAAAAAAUGUAAAAAAUCAAGAUUACCUGAAAGAUGGUUGUGGUUUGUGUCUUCGUGGAAUUGCAGCGUAAACACACAAGUAACCUUUUCUCAUUUACUUAUGAAAAAUUUGUGUCUGCAGGUUCCUCUUGGAGUUAUUUUAGCAAUUCCACCUUUCAACUAUCCAGUAAACU
rnacentral:lncRNA from 1 species